CGAAAUACAAUAAAUAAUAUAAAUUAUAGAAUUUAGUAAAUUAUCAAAUCUUUAAACGCAUAUUACGCCCCUUAAUAUUCCAUAGGGCAUACCUAUUUAAGCGUUAUCUACACCCUUAAGCUCUACUUAGUGUUAGGUGUCUAUCCCACCUUCGCGCGUAGACUCGCCCUAAAUACAUUAGUAGUAGUCCUUACCCCCUCCCACGCAGUACAUUACGCUUCUUAAGGCUAUAGCGGCCCACGUCUAAUAAGCUAAACCCCCCCGUCUUUAACCUUAGAUUAGGUAGGGAUACCCGCUAAACUUAAGC
rnacentral:misc_RNA from 1 species